CGGGGUCGGAACUUCGGUUCUGGCUUACGUGGCGCACGGGUGAGUAACACGUGGGAAUCUGCCCAUCUAUGGGGAAUAACUGCGGGAAACUGCAGCUAAUACCGCAUACGCCCUUCGGGGGAAAGGCUUCGGCCGUAGAUGGAUGAGCCCGCGUCCGAUUAGCUAGUUGGUGGGGUAAAAGCCUACCAAGGCGACGAUCGGUAGCUGGUCUGAGAGGAUGAUCAGCCACACUGGGACUGAGACACGGCCCAGACUCCUACGGGAGGCAGCAGUGGGGAAUAUUGGACAAUGGGCGAAAGCCUGAUCCAGCAAUGCCGCGUGAGUGAUGAAGGUCUUCGGAUUGUAAAGCUCUUUCGACGGGGAAGAUAAUGACGGUACCCGUAGAAGAAGCCCCGGCUAACUUCGUGCCAGCAGCCGCGGUAAUACGAAGGGGGCUAGCGUUGUUCGGAUUUACUGGGCGUAAAGCGUGCGUAGGCGGCUUGUCAAGUCAGAAGUGAAAGCCCGGGGCUCAACUCCGGAACUGCUUUUGAGACUGGCAGGCUUGAGUUCGGGAGAGGGUAGUGGAAUUCCCAGUGUAGAGGUGAAAUUCGUAGAUAUUGGGAAGAACACCG
rnacentral:rRNA from 1 species